UUUUGGCCAUUUAGAGGAAGUAAAAGUCGUAACAAGGUCUCCGUAGGUGAACCUGCGGAGGGAUCAUUACACAAUAAAAUACGAAGGCCGUUCGCGGCUGGACUAUUUAUUACCCUUGUCUUUUGCGCACUUGUUGUUUCCUGGGCGGGUUCGCUCGCCACCAGGACCACAAUACAAACCUUUUUUAUGCAGUUGCAAUCAGCGUCAGUACAACAAAUGUAAAUCAUUUACAACUUUCAACAACGGAUCUCUUGGUUCUGGCAUCGAUGAAGAACGCAGCGAAAUGCGAUACGUAGUGUGAAUUGCAGAAUUCAGUGAAUCAUCGAAUCUUUGAACGCACAUUGCGCCCUUUGGUAUUCCAAAGGGCAUGCCUGUUCGAGCGUCAUUUGUACCCUCAAGCUUUGCUUGGUGUUGGGCGUUUUUGUCCCCCCCAAAAAGGGGACUCGCCUUAAAAGGAUUGGCAGCCGGCCUACUGGUUUCGCAGCGCAGCACAUUUUUGCGCUUGCAAUCAGCAAAAGAGGACGGCAAUCCAUCAAGACUCCUUCUCACGUUUGACCUCGGAUCAGGUAGGGAUACCCGCUGAACUUAAGCAUAUCAAUAA
rnacentral:rRNA from 1 species